rnacentral:rRNA from 1 species
AACGAACGCUGGCGGCGUGUUUAAGACAUGCAUGUCGCACGGGAUCAGACAUGUAGUAAUACUUGUUUUAUUUAGUGGCGCACGGGUGAGUAACACGUGAAUUACAUGCCUUAUAGUGGGUAAUAGCCCAGGGCAACUUGGAUUAAUACCACAUGGUAUCGAAAGAUUAAAGGUGGACGCAAGGCUGUCGCCAUAGGAUUGGUUCGCGCCCUAUCGGCUUGUUGGUGAGGUACCGGCUCACCAAGGCAAUGACGUGUACCUAGUCUGAGAGGACGAUCAGGCACACUGUAACUGAGACACGUUCCAGACACCUACGGGUGGCAGCAAUCGAGAAUAAUUCACAGUGGGGGCAACCCUGAUGGUGCAACGCCGCGUGAAGGAUGACGGUCUUCGGAUUGUAAACUCCUAUCAUCUGGGUGAAAGACCUGACGGUAAAUAGCCGUCAGGGUUGAUAGUUCCAGAAGAGGAAGGGACGGCUAACUUCGUGCCAGCAGCCGCCGUAA